GUCUCGGUAGUGUAAGGGAUAGAGCACGGGGCCCGGAAAGCACAAGUACGGGUUCCAGCCCCGUCCGAGACU
rnacentral:tRNA from 1 species